GAAAAGAUAUAAAUGUAAUCUUUGGGAUUCAACUUGUAAGGAUGUUCCAAGAACCACUUAGUUGGAGAAGGAAAACUGUGCCGUUCAUUAACAAGUCCCGUGCUUUAUAAUAUAUUAAAAGAUGGUAAGGGCGUGAAGAAAACAGGUUUGUAAAUGAUGUUGUACAUCAUGCAGGUAGCUCAGAAGAAGAAGCAGGAAUGUUUGACUGGAAAUAUAAACGAUGUUGUACAUAAUGCAGAUAGCUUAGGCGAAAAAGAGAUUGGUGAAAUGGAAAAUGAGACUAACUACGGUGAAA
rnacentral:lncRNA from 1 species